UCAGGUGGCGCAAUGGGUUGGUGCAUCUGGCUGUUAUUCGGAAGGCUGGUGGUUCGAGCCCACCCAGGACAG